rnacentral:rRNA from 1 species
GACGAACGCUGGCGGCGUGCUUAACACAUGCAAGUCGAACGGAAAGGCCCUGCUUUUGUGGGGUGCUCGAGUGGCGAACGGGUGAGUAACAAGUGAGUAACCUGCCCUUGACUUUGGGAUAACUUCAGGAAACUGGGGCUAAUACCGGAUAGGAGCUCCUGCUGCAUGGUGGGGGUUGGAAAGUUUCGGCGGUUGGGGAUGGACUCGCGGCUUAUCAGCUUGUUGGUGGGGUAGUGGCUUACCAAGGCUUUGACGGGUAGCCGGCCUGAGAGGGUGACCGGCGACAUGGGGACUGAGAUACGGACCAGACUCCUACGGGAGGCAGCAGUGGGGAGUAUUGCACAAUGGGCGGAAGCCUGAUGCAGCAACGCCGCGUGCGGGAUGACGGCCUUCGGGUUGUAAACCGCUUUAGCCUGUGACGAAGCGUGAGUGACGGUAAUGGGUAAAGAAGCACCGGCUAACUACGUG